AUCCCAUGGUGAGGGCAUUCCCUUUGGUCUUCUUUGAAUCGGUCCCAAGCUUCAAAAAGUGACUCGUCCCGCUUUUGCUCAAAGGAUUGGAUUUUGUGGCGAU
rfam:Spinacia oleracea cultivar SynViroflay scaffold3225.con0002.1, whole genome shotgun sequence.